UCAGGUUUAAAAAGCUUGACUCUAUUAAAAGAAGGCGAACAGAAAAGGCUUCAUGUUUUACUUGCUGCAAGGGGAGCGACAGGACUUCUCCCUGCUUCCAAGAAACUCCAACUUGUGUCCUCUUGAAGCUUCUUUUUAUUCACAUAACUCACAUGAUGAGUGGAUGUGUCUGUGUGUGUGACUGUUUGAUUGAUUACAUCUGUCUGAUUGAUGACAUCUGUUUUCAAGACAAUGAGUUCAAAGGUAGAAGUUAGGUGGUGAUGUGGAAACCAACUACAGUAUGUACAAAAUGAGAACAUAUGAAUGAUUUCUUUAACAGUGGUGUGUUGGGAUCCGGCUUGAAGUACCAAAAUGUCAGGUUUAAGAAAGUGACUUUCUAUUAAAAAGUCAAACAGACAAGGAUUCAAGUUUUACUUGCUGCAAGGGGAGUGACAGGACCUCUCCUUGCUUCUAAGCAACUCUGACUCAUGUCCCCCUGCAGCUUCUUUUUAUUCAGAUAAAUCACAUGUUUUGCAUGUGUGUGUGGGGGUGUGAUUGAUUACAUCUGUCUGAUUGAUUACAUCUGUUUUCAAGACAAUGAGUUCAAAGGCACAAGCUAGGUUGUGAUGUGUAACCAACUACAGUAUGUACAAAAUGAGAACAUAUGAAUGAUUUCUUUAACACCGACAAUUUCAUGUAGAAUAUUGAUAAUAUCAGACUUAUUUAUUUUUUUGUCAUUUACCGGUCUGAAAUGGAUACUUGACCCUGAACCAACUGAUGUUAAGCCUCCUCCUGCUAUAGUCGAGGAUCUAGUGGUCAGUCAUGACUACAUUAGAGCGGACAACCCUGUCCACUGGUUGAGAAUGGCUUGUUGUGUCACCUACAGUCAUACAACAGACUGCAGAAGCUACUUCUGGACAGAGGAAAAAUAAGAAGGCUCUGUACCACAGCUUCCAAUUUUGGCCAAGGACUAACAGCAGCAUGAAGAGGCGGGUUGUCUGUGUUAUUGAAGAAAAAACUAAUGUCACAGCACAAUUUGGAAGCAGUCAGAGAAGUCGCAUUGGGGAUCACCCAUGAAGCUGAUACCCUGCGACUCCACCAGGAUCAAUUGAGUGGAGCUGUAUGUGAAAAUGGUAUCUGGCUUCACGAGUAGGGGGUCCUUGGAGCAUCUCCAGAUGGCAUUGUCCUCUGCCUUGCAUCAAAAUAUUCUGGCAAACACCAGAGGCCCAGCACCUAGUGCUUCAAUUGAUCAAGGUCAAGUGUCCAUAUUCAGUGGCACAGAUGAAAAUAAUGGAUGUGGAAAAGACACUUAAAACCUUCUUUCUUGGCAAGUAAUAAAACUGCCAUAAAUAUGCUAUUUAAUGCCACUUUGACGUUGACUUUUGUUCUUAGACUGGUGUGAUUUCAGAAGUACAAAAUGACAACAUCAUCCUCAAGAAAAGUCAUGCAUACUAUCAUCAAAUACAGGGUCAGAUGUACCUAACAGGAACAAAAUGCUGUGACCUUGUGGUAUGGACACCAUAAGAAGUAUUAUGCCAUCGUCAGAAGACCUGAUACCCGGGAACAAAGAAAUAUGCGACAGAUGGGUAUCUGCCAUGAAGAGGGACAACUGGGCGCCCACCAUGUACUCUCAACUGUGCAGCAAGCGUUUCAUUUCUAGGACAAGAAAUCGUCUUUCUGAUCAGGAAGAUGUGAGAGACUGGCAAGUUACAGACUCCAACCAAGUUCUGAACCAGCCUCUCAGAUAUUCUUUAUUUCUGAAAACACACAAGGUCAAAAGGAGUGGUAAGCAAGCACGUGAACAAAGGCACAUUCUCUGAUAAUGAUGUGUGUGCGUUGAUGAAGUUCUCCUUGGCCAUUUCUCGGAAUAUAAGGGUAGCCUGGUGCACCUCUGUUUGGGGGCUCGUCCUGUGAACAAGACUCUUCGAAGCAAGGAUGAUACUUUGGCUUUGUUGCAAGUCCAUAAUAAAUACUUUAACAAUAAUUCUAACACCCAAAUAUACCCAGAGUUUAACAGCUGGUGGGAGCAGGUACUGUGUCCCUCGCCUAGCUGAUACGUCAACAACUGUAGAUGAUAUGAUAUGGGGUUGUCAUUCUUAAACUGAAAAACCUUCUCUGAAAUACACACAGAAAGGCAUAUCAUUCCUCUGGUAAGAUGUCCUUCAAAUGGUUGAGAUCAUUGAGGUAUUUAAUGCUGGAAAUGUUACAUUGUUAAAUAAUAGCAUUUGGAAAUGUUCGUUCCAAUGAAUGCGUAUAUUGUGAACAUUUUUAUGUUCACUUUCAGAUACCUUAUACCACUGAAAAAAUACUAGAUUUUGGUUUACAAUAAAGUUUUCCUGUUGUAUUAUAUUACUAUCAAAUAUAAAAGUGAAAGAAAGUCAUAAGUUAUGAAGAAAAGGACAAUGGCUGUAACGUUUAGUAGGCCUAUUUGGAUAAACAAACUAAUGUAAAUGUCUCAGAUGAUUGAUUCAUAAACCUGAGAGCAAUACUGUGGAAUUUAUUGAUAACAUUUCCGAGACUGUUCAUCCUCUUGUACAAAGUGUCCGAAAAAUUCCUUGUAAUUUGUGGAAUAUAUCAAUUGAAAUGCCUGCUACACUAAGACGAGAGGUGGGCGUGGCAGUUGACAUGUUUGGCAUGGGGAAUACAGACGCAAAGUACAUUUUUGUUCAUGGAUAUAUCUGCUUUUGUAUCUGAACUCUUCAUAUGUACUGUAUGUGUCAAUGUAUGUUUUAAACCAGGGGUGCCCAGACUUAUUUACCCCAAGAUCUAUUUUUCAAGCAGCCAGCCUCUCGCGAGCUACCGACGAUGAGGGGGGUGGGGGGAUAAUGAUGGUGAUGCUCCCAAACCGUUUUAAGGUUCAUGUUAUGUUGCCUCCUAUAUUUAAAAUACAGAAUUUGCUUUUUGUGCACUGUAUUGUCUGUGCUUUCAUCCUGGAUCAGGCUGUGCCAAGGUGGAAUUUUAAAAUUACACACCAUCUCAUCUUGCACGUUCUACUUUGGCAUCAGACCAGACCUUUCCCACACAGAAAAGAGAAAAUCUCAUACAGUUUAAAAACUUUUUCUUCGAUUAUUCACAAACUUUGACAGUCAUUGCAUCUUAAAACAACAGCAUUUAUUUUUUAACUCUCUCCAUAAAUAUCGAAAGUAGCAUGAGCAGCAUGUCUGGCUCGUCUUCGCUCUGCGUUGCCAAGACUAUGUUGCGAACUAAAGCAGCGUUGGUGGACGCUGUCAUUAUAAAACACAUUGAUGGGCUACAUAAGUACUGUAACAUUUGGAAUUAUGAGUGUACGUCUUUAAGAGUGGGUGGGGCGGGGCGGCGGGUGUAAAAUAAGCUAGGAAUAAGAGCAUUGUUAGAGAAAGUUCUGUGUACUGCCUAAAAGAAACAAUGGCUUCUUUUCAUUUUUUACAGUAUGUAUGUGAAUUGUGCCAUUGGAUGUAAAAAUCAGUCAUCUCUCACUCAUUGAAUCAUGUUGCAAAAUGCCACCAACUGAAUAGCUGUACAUUAUACUUUCAAUUUGCAUUGGAUUUUUUUUGCACGCAACGCAGAAUAUCUGCAAAGAGACUGCAUCAUCGGUGCACAAUUGCACCAAUUGUUCGAGGGAACGUUGGCUGACCUUUUCUCUUUUUUUUUUUUUUUUUUGGAACGCCCUCCCACGAUCGACCAAGACUGCCACGCGAUCGACCGAUCGACGGAUUGAAACCCCUGUUCUAAACCUUCCUGGGCAUGCUGCAAAUGUUUAGAUUAUAGUCAUGUCUCUAGUGAUCAAAAACAUGCCAAGUACACAAUGAGCGCACAAUGAAGUUAUGGGAAAGAGUAGUGGAGGGCUCGACUGAAUGUGAAUGCAAUUUUAUGCGGUGGUGGGUGUUUUGUUUUUAGGGCAGUCACGCGAAAUGUGACCCUUUUCUCCACAACACCAGCAAAUAAUUUCUUUUUGAUCAAAUUUGCAUCCCCUCCCGAAUACUCUUCCCCUGCCUCCUCCUCAUCUGCGGCCACGAUUAUUAAAUAUUUCGCAUAAAGCUCCAUAAAUUUCUCCUUCCUCUUUCAGAAAGUUGUCAACUUUCUUUUUCUUAUUUUGUAGCACUCUUUCUGUGUGUAUUGCGUGCUUGGUUAAGGUAUUGUUACAGGCUGCCAGUUGGUUUGUUUACCCAUUGUUUUGUAGGAUUAUUUCGCAUGAAGAGCUUUUUUUAAUUGCUCUUGAUACACACUCCCUGGAGUGUGAUCUUCAGGAUUGCCACUAUUUGGUUUAAAACAUGAAGUCAUUCCAAUUCUAUAUUCUUCAAAUGGUUCAUUGUUGUUUUAUUUUGCUCUUACAAUGGCAGAAAAAUUUGCUUUCCGUCUAAAUCUAUCAGAAGUGCCCUAUAUUAAUUGUUGAACUCCCUUCUGCUCCCUGUUGCUGUCAUCCAAAUUUGUUGUACUUCCACACCAUUUAAGUGUUAAGAUUUUCUUCUUUUGUUUUGUUUAUGUUCCAUCAACUUUAUGAGAUGUCAUACCUUUUAUGGCCGUUUUCACGUCAUCUUGAGUCCAUUUUUGUGUGCGUGUGUUUCUCUCUCUAAUUUUAUCCUGCAAAUUAACUAUAUAUAUUUUGUAUGUGUGUGUUGAGCUGGCUAGCAAAGCCAUAUUGUGUUAUCCACAAAUUUAGACGUUUUAUUUUACUAGGACAUUGGCUUUCGACAAACUCCUAGUCGUUACAACAUUAAUUUUUUUCAGACGUUCUUUAUCAACUAUUUUGCUAUUUAUCAUCUAUUUUGGUAUUUGUUUUCCCCCAUUGGAGUCAGUGGUUCACCGAGGGUGACUACACUGACUUCCCCCUAAACAGGGUGACAAUUACUUUCUGUUUGAGGUAAUUCUCAAGCUUCUACCACAAGUGGCGGAGAAUUCUUACCUCUGCAUUAUCAAACAGUUGUCACUCAAUUAUCUG